AACUGAUACUACCUGCGGGAACCUGCGGAGGGAUCAUUAACAAAUUCCAAACACUCGUCUUUGCCAAAGGGAACCAAGACCGUCUGGUCUCAUGUACCUUUGGUCAUAUGACAAACACUUACAUUCACAAUUGACAACCACAGGAUUUCCACAAUUUUUAAUUGUCUAAACAACUUUUAGCAAUGGAUCUCU
rnacentral:misc_RNA from 1 species